CUGUAAUCAGGACUGUGAGAGAUAAACUGAUGGAGAUUCAGUAAGCAUCACUGUAAAGUUGUACAAUUGUUGGUAUGUAAGCAGGAAUGGUACCAACAAAGGCACAAUGUGGUGCUGUGAAAGAGCUGUGACACUGAAGUCGAAGAAUGUACUGUUAAUGCUCUAAAAUAUUUGUUAUUAAAUAGUUGUUGCCUAAUAUCUGAAGUAAAC